CAUGAAGUCGGAAUCGCUAGUAAUCGCGGGUCAGCAUACCGCGGUGAAUACGUUCCCGGGCCUUGUACACACCGCCCGUCACACCACGAAAGUUGGUAACACCCGAAGCCGGUGGCCUAACCCUUAGGGGAGGGAGCUGUCGAAGGUGGGACUGAUGAUUGGGGUGAAGUCGUAACAAGGUACC
rnacentral:rRNA from 1 species